rnacentral:rRNA from 1 species
CCUAGGGCGGCAGCAGUGGGGAAUAUUGGACAAUGGGCGAAAGCCUGAUCCAGCCAUGCCGCGUGUGUGAAGAAGGCCUUCGGGUUGUAAAGCACUUUCAGUGGGGAAGAAAGCCUUGGGGCUAAUACCCUCGAGGAAGGACAUCACCCACAGAAGAAGCACCGGCUAACUCCGUGCCAGCAGCCGCGGUAAUACGGAGGGUGCGAGCGUUAAUCGGAAUUACUGGGCGUAAAGCGCGCGUAGGCGGUCUGAUAAGCCGGUUGUGAAAGCCCCGGGCUCAACCUGGGAACGGCAUCCGGAACUGUCAGGCUAGAGUGCAGGAGAGGAAGGUAGAAUUCCCGGUGUAGCGGUGAAAUGCGUAGAGAUCGGGAGGAAUACCAGUGGCGAAGGCGGCCUUCUGGACUGACACUGACGCUGAGGUGCGAAAGCGUGGGUAGCAAACAGGAUUAGAUACCCGAGUAGUC